ACGAAAUCGGACCUCGGUCUGGUGACGUCUCUCUUGCUGUGCGCCCUCGGGCUGCACGCUUGGGAAUCCACACACCUGUGCACACUCGGUUGGCGGGUUUCGGCCCGCCUCUCGCCCACACUUACUUUGUAUGUCUUGAAUGUCUAAUUAUCUUUAAUGAUAUAAAAUA
rnacentral:misc_RNA from 1 species